UAUCGAGAUNCGACUAAGCCAUGCGAGUCGAAUGUUCUUCGUGAACAUGGCGGACUGCUCAAUAACACGUGGACAACCUACCCUUGGGUCUGGCAUAAUCCUGGGAAACUGGGUAUAAUUCCAGAUAGGUCACAGAUGCUGGAAUGCACUGUGGCCGAAAGCUCCGGCGCCCAAGGAUGGGUCUGCGGCCUAUCAGGGUUGUAGUGGGUGUAACGGACCUACUAGCCUACGACGGGUACGGGUUGUGAGAGCAAGAGCCCGGAGAUGGAUUCUGAGACACGAAUCCAGGCCCUACGGGGUGCAGCAGGCGCGAAAACUUUACAAUGCGGGAAACCGUGAUAAGGGAAUCUCGAGUGCCAGCAUAUAAUGUUGGCUGUCCAGAUGCCUAAAAAGCAUCUGUUAGCAAGGGCCGGGCAAGACCGGUGCCAGCCGCCGCGGUAACACCGGCGGCCCGAGUGGUAACCGCUUUUAUUGGGUCUAAAGGGUCUGUANCCGGCCAAGUAAGUCCCUUGGGAAAUCU
rnacentral:rRNA from 1 species